UAGGGAAUCUUCGNCAAUGGACGGAAGUCUGACCGAGCAACGCCGCGUGAGUGAAGAAGGUUUUCGGAUCGUAAAGCUCUGUUGUAAGAGAAGAACGAGUGUGAGAGUGGAAAGUUCACACUGUGACGGUAUCUUACCAGAAAGGGACGGCUAACUACGUGCCAGCAGCCGCGGUAAUACGUAGGUCCCGAGCGUUGUCCGGAUUUAUUGGGCGUAAAGCGAGCGCAGGCGGUUAGAUAAGUCUGAAGUUAAAGGCUGUGGCUUAACCAUAGUACGCUUUGGAAACUGUUUAACUUGAGUGCAAGAGGGGAGAGUGGGAUUCCAUGUGUAGCGGUGAAAUGCGUAGAUAUAUGGAGGAACACCGGUGGCGAAAGCGGCUCUCUGGCUUGUAACUGACGCUGAGGCUCGAAAGCGUGGGGAGCAAACAGGAUUAGAUACCCUGGUAGUCCACGCCGUAAACAAAAAAAGGGGGGGUGUAAAACAUUUCCGGGGGUUGGGGGGGCAAAAAAAAAAAAAAAACCCCCCCCGCGGGGGGGGGGCGCCGGGGGAGG
rnacentral:rRNA from 1 species